rnacentral:lncRNA from 1 species
GCAUUGGAGAAAGAAAUGGCAACCCACUCCAGUGUUCUUUCCUGGAGAAUCCCAGAACAGGGGAGCCUGGUGGGCUGCCGUCUAUGGGGUCGCACAGAGUCGGGCACAACUGAUGUGACUUAGCAGCAACAGCAGCAGCAACAGCCUUCUCUGUGAGAAAGCAACAUAAAAAGAGGAAACCAUCAGUGGAGCUCCUUUGCUUCCUUCGAUUAGAGAAUCAAAUCUGUGAGCCAGAUCUUAAGUUCGAGGGCUGUACAAAUAGAUGUGCGCAUUCCUGGAGUCUGAAAAAGUUCAAAAACAUUAUGAUAGCAGAGAAGGCAAUGGCACACCACUCCAGUACUCUUGCCUGGAAAAUCCCAUGGACGGAGGAGCCUGGUGAGCUGCAGUCCGUGGGGUCACUAGGAGUCGGACACGACUAAGUGACUUCACUUGCACUUUUCACUUUCAUGCAUUGGAGAAGGAAAUGGCCACCCACUCCAGGGUUCUUGCCUGGAGAAUCCCAGGGACGGGGGAACCUGGUGGGCUGCCGUCUAUGGGGUUGCACAGAGUCGGACACGACUGAGGCAACUUAGCAGCAGCAGCAGCA